rnacentral:misc_RNA from 1 species
UCCCCGUUGCCGGGGCAGUCUCAGUAGAAAAAUCCAACUACUGACAAGGGUUGCGCUCGUUGAUGGACUUAACCAAACAUCUCACGACACGAGCUGACGACGGCCAUGCAUCACCUGUCACCGAGUUCAAUAAAGCACUCUCGCCUUUCGGCAAAAUUCUCGGGAUUUCAAACCCUGGUAAGGUUCUUCGGUUAUCAUCGAAUUAAAGAACAUAAUCCACCGCUUGUGCGGGUCCCCGUCAAUUCCUUUAUGUUUUAGUCUUGCGACCGUACUCCACAGGCGGGAUACUUAACGCGUUAGCUUCGCUACUGGGGGGGUCGAUACCCCCAACAGCUAGUAUCCAUCGUUUACGGCGUGGACUAC